ensembl:lncRNA
GUCUGGGGAGAGAAAAAGUCAAGAUAUGUCCCUUGCCUCCAACCUGUGCAGUCUCCCUGGGCCUCCUGACUCUUCCCAUCCUCUAUUUACUGCAGGUCACAUGGAGGUAAGAGCAACCUCAUCUGAGUGUGGAACUUCACGGGAUAUCAGGAAAAUUCUCCUGUUUGAAGGAUACUUCCUUUGGAGGUCAGUUCCUGAAAGGUAUGACACCACAGAUUGUAAAAAUUUUAUAGAAAGAUGAAUACUAGUUUCAUCUACAGCUGUAUGAAGAAAGGGAGGAAAAUACUUAUCAUCUUUUAACUCCUUGAGUUAGACACAAUCUCAGCUUUCAGCAACCUCAACCUCCUGGGUUCGAGCAAUUUUCCUGCUUUGGCUUCCCAAGUAGCUGGAAUUACGGGUAUCCAUCACCACACCUAGCUAAUAUUUGUAUUUUGAGUACAGACAGGGUUUCACCAUGUUGGCCGGGCAACGUGGUGGAAGAUACUGUGGUAGGUGUUUUAAACUGCAUGUUUACUAUCACGACUAUAUACAUUUUUUGAAUUCAUUUUAUUUAUGAGAAAACGGAAGCUCAAAGAGAUUAAAUGAGUUUCUUAAUACCACACAUACAUGCAAGCCGAAUGAAAUUACAAUGUCAUAUUCUUUGUAAUGUAAUGCAAAUUAUGGGUGAUUUUUGUCAGUUUUGUAUUCUUGAUUUCAGUUAUAAUGGUUAAAUCUUUUUUUUACUUGUAAAUUCUACACAACUCUUUCUUGCUCUCUGAAUUUCCAUGUUUCAUGCUGUAUUUUCAGCUGUUUUUAACCAGUUUUUUCCUUGAGUAUUUAGGCAGAGAAUCUCUGAUCCAAUUUUCACUAUUAAUCUGUGAAGGAAGGUUGUCAUUCUUUAUGUCAAUGAUAAUUUAGUUAAUUUGGAUUGACAUAAGAUUGAGAAAUUCAUAACAUCAGGAAAUGUUACCAAGAAUGAAUAGAAAAGAUUUCUUACCAUAACCAGCUCUGCCAGAAAAUGAAAUGUGUUAAAAGUUGCAGUAAAAUUGUAGUAAACCAGUGUGACAAUUAUGCAAGUUAAGUAACUUAAUUAAUAAAGCCAGUAGGUCCAGUAAUCAUUAUAUUAUCAGUAUUAAUUAAAUAUUGUGAUGAAGAAUUGAAUUAGUUAUCUGUUCUCACCUACAGAAUUAUGGCAGCUUACUGAUAUUCAAAGUAGUAUUUUAUUUAAAAGUGAUAAAUUAUUAUUGUAAUUAAAUGUUAUAAUUUAAAAUAAAUAUACUAAACCUGUUAACAUGGUUUGCCAGUAUAUCAGUUAUAUGAAAUCUGUCCAGAAAAAAUAUACUGCAAAAGGCCGGGCAUGGUGGUUCAACCCUGUAAUCCCAGCACUUUGGGAGGCUGAGGCGGGUGGAUCACGAGGUCAAGAGAUCGAGACCAUCCUGGUCAACAUGGUGAAACCCCGUCUCUACUAAAAAUACAAAAAAUUAGCUGGGCAUGGUGGCACGUGCCUGUAGUCCCAACUACUCGGGAGGCUCAGGCAGGAGAAUUGCCUGAACCCAGGAGGUGGAGGUUGCGGUGAGACAAGAUGGCACCAUUGCACUCCAGCCUGGGUAACAAGAGUGAAACUCCAUCUCAAAAAUAUAUAUAUAUAUAUAAAUAAAUAAAUAUAUAUAUAUAAAUAAAUAUAUAUAUAUAAAUAAAUAUAUAUAUAAAUAAAUAUAUAUAUAAAUAAAUAAAUAUAUAAAUAUAUAUAUAAAUAUAUAUAUAUAAAUAUAUAUAUAUAUAUUGCAAAAAAGAAAAAACUGUACAAAAACAAUAAUCCACAUUCUUUUCUAAUUCCAUUCUACUUCCAUCUUCACUUCAGAGUCACUAACUUCUCUUAUUUGGCUCCUACUUCAGUUUGACUUCUACUCAUCAUUUCCACCAAACCAGUUCUCUCACUAAGAUCACCAAUGC